rnacentral:lncRNA from 1 species
GCCGCCAUGGCUAAUAAACUCUCAUCUAAGUAAUUAGCCUAAAGAAGCUCGAUACUUUCAACAGGAAGUUACGCCUAGGCCAUCGCCUUACAUCUCUCAAAGCCCAUGAAAAAUGCCAUCUUAUAGGCCUGAUUUAUAAUUUCAGCCGCUCUUUUCGUUAGACAUUUUUCUUCUCUUUCAGCAUUCUUGGUUAGAAGCUCCUAAUCUAUGAGC